rnacentral:rRNA from 1 species
UGUUAGGGAAGAACAAGUACCGUUCGAAUAGGGCGGUACCUUGACGGUACCUAACCAGAAAGCCACGGCUAACUACGUGCCAGCAGCCGCGGUAAUACGUAGGUGGCAAGCGUUGUCCGGAAUUAUUGGGCGUAAAGGGCUCGCAGGCGGUUUCUUAAGUCUGAUGUGAAAGCCCCCGGCUCAACCGGGGAGGGUCAUUGGAAACUGGGGAACUUGAGUGCAAAAGAGGAGAGUGGAAUUCCACGUGUAGCGGUGAAAUGCGUAGAGAUGUGGAGGAACACCAGUGGCGAAGGCGACUCUCUGGUCUGUAACUGACGCUGAGGAGCGAAAGCGUGGGG